ACUACGGGGGGCAGCAGUGAGGAAUAUUGGUCAAUGGCCGUAAGGCUGAACCAGCCAAGUCGCGUGAAGGAAGAAGGAUCUAUGGUUUGUAAACUUCUUUUAUAGGGGAAUAAAGGUAUCCACGUGGGGAUAUUUGCAUGUACCCUAUGAAUAAGCAUCGGCUAACUCCGGGCCAGCAGCCGCGGUAAUACGGAGGAUGCGAGCGUUAUCCGGAUUUAGUGGGUUUAAAGGGUGAAGAGGUUUUUUUUUAAGUCAGCGGUGAAAGUUUGUGGCUCAACAUUAAAUUUCCGUUGAAACUGGAAGACUUGAGUGUGUUUGAGGUAGGCGGAAUGCGUGGUGUAGCGGUGAAAUGCAUAGAUAUCACGCAGAACUCCGAUUGCGAAGGCAGCUUACUAAGCCAUAACUGACACUGAAGCACGAAAGCGUGGGGAUCAAACAGGAUUAGAUACCCUUGUAGUC
rnacentral:rRNA from 1 species